AGCGUAUUAUAUCUCACUAAUCAUGUCUAUUUUGUCAUUUAAAUUUUCUCGUGUUUGUAUACGAAAUAUUUAAUGUACAUAAUAUCGUAUUAUAUAGCGUAAUACGAUAUAUUUUUCUACAAAAUUAUAUAUUAUGUUUUAUAUAUUAAUUGAAAAUUGACUUUAUACAAGAUAUUAAAUUGAUGUGACCUUAUUUAUGUCUGCAGAGAUUUCAAGAUUUCCACACAAGCUUGAUAGCAAAACAAAUAUUGAUCCU